UAGAGUGUAAAAACUCCCUAACCCGUGUGAACAUACCACUGUUGCUUCGGCGGUAGCGCACCAGGCGCGCCUGCGUGCCCUGGAACCAUGCGCCCGCCGAGGGACCCGAACCUCUGUAUCUCUGUUGGCAUCUCUGAGUAGUGGGCAAUUUGGAAUGAAUCA
rnacentral:misc_RNA from 1 species